GGCCUAACACAUGCAAGUCGAGCGGUAGCACAGGGAGCUUGCUCCUGGGUGACGAGCGGCGGACGGGUGAGUAAUGUCUGGGAAACUGCCUGAUGGAGGGGGAUAACUACUGGAAACGGUAGCUAAUACCGCAUAACGUCUUCGGACCAAAGAGGGGGACCUUCGGGCCUCUUGCCAUCAGAUGUGCCCAGAUGGGAUUAGCUAGUAGGUGAGGUAAUGGCUCACCUAGGCGACGAUCCCUAGCUGGUCUGAGAGGAUGACCAGCCACACUGGAACUGAGACACGGUCCAGACUCCUACGGGAGGCAGCAGUGGGGAAUAUUGCACAAUGGGCGCAAGCCUGAUGCAGCCAUGCCGCGUGUGUGAAGAAGGCCUUCGGGUUGUAAAGCACUUUCAGCGAGGAGGAAGGGCAGUGUGUUAAUAGCACAUUGCAUUGACGUUACUCGCAGAA
rnacentral:rRNA from 1 species